UUCCGGGUGAAACUGAUACUCGGUAAGCACUGCCCGGUGCAUUACGGUGUUAACGGUGGUCGACGGGCUUUAAUGUAGCAAAAUCCAUAGCCGUUUAAUUGGCGAGCGCGCAUGAAGUGUCAACGAGGGAACGACUGUCUCUAGCAUGUGCUUAUGAAAUAGAAAUCCAAGUGCAAUUGCUUGGAUGGCUUUAAAAGACGAGAAGACCCCGCGUAGCUUUAUAUAAGCACUAAAUGAUUAGUGUGAUUGUUUAGUUGGGGCAACGGGGGAAUAGACGAAACUUCCCUGAAACAAUCUUAAACUGGCAGGUAAUGAUCCAGAAAUGUGGCCGAACGAAGGAUGAGUUACACCGGGGAUAACAGCGCGCUUCUGGAAUUGAGGCCAUAUUGGUUCCAGAGUUUGCGACCUCGAUGUUGAAUCAGGGAGAGCCUAGGUGCAGCCGCUUAGGUGUCGGGUCUGUUCGACCUUUAAAUUCCU
rnacentral:rRNA from 1 species